GGAUUGUGGCUCAGUGGUAGAGCACCUGCCUAGCAUGUAUGAGGCACUGGGUUCGAUUCUCAGCACCA
rnacentral:tRNA from 1 species